CGCCAGCCGCCGCGGUAAUACGGGGGGGGUUAGCGUUGUUCGGAAUUACUGGGCGUAAAGCGCGCGUAGGCGGACAUUUAAGUCAGAGGUGAAAUCCCAGGGCUCAACCCUGGAACUGCCUUUGAUACUGGGUGUCUUGAGUUCGAGAGAGGUGAGUGGAAUUCCGAGUGUAGAGGUGAAAUUCGUAGAUAUUCGGAGGAACACCAGUGGCGAAGGCGGCUCUCUGGCUCGAUACUGACGCUGAGGUGCGAAAGUGUGGGGAGCAAACAGGAUUAGAUACCCUGGUAGUCCACACCGUAAACGAUGAAUGCCAGUCGUCGGGCAGUAUACUGUUCGGUGACACACCUAACGGAUUAAGCAUUCCGCCUGGGGAGUACGGUCGCAAGAUUAAAACUCAAAGG
rnacentral:rRNA from 1 species